UACGUAGGGGGCUAGCGUUGUCCGGAAUCAUUGGGCGUAAAGCGCGUGUAGGCGGUCCGGUAAGUCCGCUGUGAAAGUCGGGGGCUCAACCCUGGAAAGCCGGUUGAUACUGUCGGGCUAGAGUCCGGAAGAGGCGAGUGGAAUUCCCGGUGUAGCGGUGAAAUGCGCAGAUAUCGGGAGGAACACCAAUGGCGAAGGCAGCUCGCUGGGACGGUACUGACGCUGAGACGCGAAAGCGUGGGGAGCAAACAGG
rnacentral:rRNA from 1 species